rnacentral:rRNA from 1 species
CCUACGGGAGGCAGCAGUGGGGAAUAUUGCACAAUGGGGGGAACCCUGAUGCAGCAACGCCGCGUGGGUGAAGAAGUACUCCGGUAUGUAAAGCCCUGUCAGCAGGGAAGAAAAUGACGGUACCUGACCAAUAAGCCCCGGCUAACUACGUGCCAGCAGCCGCGGUAAUACGUAGGGGGCAAGCGUUAUCCGGAUUUACUGGGUGUAAAGGGUGCGUAGACGGCAAGUCAAGUCUGGAGUGAAAGCCCGUGGCUUAACCACGGGACUGCUUUGGAAACUGUGUUGCUGGAGUGCAGGAGGGGUAAGCGGAAUGCCUAGUGUAGCGGUGAAAUGCGUAGAUAUUAGGAGGAAAACUGGUGGCGAAGGCGGCUUACUGGACUGUAACUGACGUUGAGGCUCGAAGGCGUGGGGAGCAAACAGGAUUAGAUACCCGGGUAGUC